GCUGUCUCCACCCGAGACUCAGUGAAAUUGAACUCGCUGUGAAGAUGCAGUGUACCCGCGGCAAGACGGAAAGACCCCGUGAACCUUUACUAUAGCUUGACACUGAACAUUGAGCCUUGAUGUGUAGGAUAGGUGGGAGGCUUUGAAGUGUGGACGCCAGUCUGCAUGGAGCCGACCUUGAAAUACCACCCUUUAAUGUUUGAUGUUCUAACGUGGACCCGUAAUCCGGGUUGCGGACAGUGUCUGGUGGGUAGUUUGACUGGGGCGGUCUCCUCCUAAAGAGUAACGGAGGAGCACGAAGGUUGGCUAAUCCUGGUCGGACAUCAGGAGGUUAGUGCAAUGGCAUAAGCCAGCUUGACUGCGAGCGUGACGGCGCGAGCAGGUGCGAAAGCAGGUCAUAGUGAUCCGGUGGUUCUGAAUGGAAGGGCCAUCGCUCAACGGAUAAAAGGUACUCCGGGGAUAACAGGCUGAUACCGCCCAAGAGUUCAUAUCGACGGCGGUGUUUGGCACCUCGAUGUCGGCUCAUCACAUCCUGGGGCUGAAGUAGGUCCCAAGGGUAUGGCUGUUCGCCAUUUAAAGUGGUACGCGAGCUGGGUUUAGAACGUCGUGAGACAGUUCGGUCCCUAUCUGCCGUGGGCGCUGGAGAACUGAGGGGGGCUGCUCCUAGUACGAGAGGACCGGAGUGGACGCAUCACUGGUGUUCGGGUUGUCAUGCCAAUGGCACUGCCCGGUAGCUAAAUGCGGAAGAGAUAAGUGCUGAAAGCAUCUAAGCACGAAACUUGCCCCGA
rnacentral:rRNA from 1 species